AAUAAAGUAAGCUAAAUAAAGCUAGUGGGUUCAUACCCCAAAAAUGAUAAAUUCCUUUAUUA
rnacentral:tRNA from 1 species